rnacentral:rRNA from 1 species
UACGGAGGGUGCGAGCGUUAAUCGGAAUUACUGGGCGUAAAGCGUGCGUAGGUGGUUAAUUAAGUUAUCUGUGAAAUCCCUGGGCUUAACCUGGGCAGGUCAGAUGAUACUGGUUGACUCGAGUAUGGGGAGAGGGUAGUGGAAUUUCCGGUGUAGCGGUGAAAUGCGUAGAGAUCGGAAGGAACACCAGUGGCGAAGGCGGCUACCUGGCCUAAUACUGACACUGAGGCACGAAAGCGUGGGGAGCAAACAGG